rnacentral:tRNA from 5 species
GCGGGUGUGCCCGAGCGGCCCAAGGGGGCGGACUCAAGAUCCGCUGGCGAAGGCCAUCCGGGGUUCAAAUCCCCGCACCCGCA